GCGGGGGUGGCGGAAUGGCAGACGCAGCGGCCUUAAAAGCCGCAGGCCGGUAAACGGUCGUGAGGGUUCGAGUCCCUUCCCCCGCACCA
rnacentral:tRNA from 2 species